CUCAGGAUGAACGCUAGCGACAGGCUUAACACAUGCAAGUCGAGGGGCAGCAUGAUUUGUAGCAAUACAGAUUGAUGGCGACCGGCGCACGGGUGAGUAACGCGUAUGCAACUUACCUAUCAGAGGGGGAUAGCCCGGCGAAAGUCGGAUUAAUACCCCAUAAAACAGGGGUCCCGCAUGGGAAUAUUUGUUAAAGAUUCAUCGCUGAUAGAUAGGCAUGCGUUCCAUUAGGCAGUUGGCGGGGUAACGGCCCACCAAACCGACGAUGGAUAGGGGUUCUGAGAGGAAGGUCCCCCACAUUGGUACUGAGACACGGACCAAACUCCUACGGGAGGCAGCAGUGAGGAAUAUUGGUCAAUGGCCGAGAGGCUGAACCAGCCAAGUCGCGUGAAGGAAGAAGGAUCUAUGGUUUGUAAACUUCUUUUAUAGGGGAAUAAAGUGGAGGACGUGUCCUUUUUUGUAUGUACCCUAUGAAUAAGCAUCGGCUAACUCCGUGCCAGCAGCCGCGGUAAUACGGAGGAUGCGAGCGUUAUCCGGAUUUAUUGGGUUUAAAGGGUGCGUAGGUGGUGAUUUAAGUCAGCGGUGAAAGUUUGUGGCUCAACCAUAAAAUUGCCGUUGAAACUGGGUUACUUGAGUGUGUUUGAGGUAGGCGGAAUGCGUGGUGUAGCGGUGAAAUGCAUAGAUAUCACGCAGAACUCCGAUUGCGAAGGCAGCUUACUAAACCAUAACUGACACUGAAGCACGAAAGCGUGGGGAUCAAACAGGAUUAGAUACCCUGGUAGUCCACGCAGUAAACGAUGAUUACUAGGAGUUUGCGAUACAAUGUAAGCUCUACAGCGAAAGCGUUAAGUAAUCCACCUGGGGAGUACGCCGGCAACGGUGAAACUCAAAGGAAUUGACGGGGGCCC
rnacentral:rRNA from 1 species